AAAAUUUUUUUAAACCAAUUUUUAUUUCAACCCUCCCAAGCUCGUGCAGAGAGAGCUUUCUCAAGUUUCAAUGGCUUCUCCUAGCUUUCUCCAAGUUUUCUUCAGCUCUCUUAUUUCUCUCAUCUCUUACACGUCUGUUCCUCAUAUGAUUUCUUCUUCUUCUUCUUCUCUUUUUCUGAUUUUGUUUGGGAUUAGGGUUUGUGAUUUUCCUCCAUUUUCUCUCUGGUUUGUGUAGCUAAUAAGGAAAAAAAAACCAUUGAAAUUUUAGUAAUGAAAUCGAAGCAAACUCCUUUCAGAGUAGUUGGCUAACGCUCUAUCGUUUCUUCACUCCUCACCCCUUCUUCCAAUCCUUUUAGGGUUCCGAAAGAAGAUUCUCAGAAGGAAGGUUUGGAGAAAGGGUCGAGCAUUUCGCUCUCGGACUUCCUCCAGCGGAAGCUCAACGACGAUUCUGGACUCCCCAGGACGGUCAAAAUCAAGAACAUCUUGACUUUGAAGCCAAUAAACUCCAUCUAUAUGUAUGUAAAGGAUAAGUCUGAUUUGAUAUCAUAAAAAAGUGCACUUGCGGACAAGAUCAAUGUAGAGCUGCUCAAGUCUCUUGUAACCCUGACAGGCAAGACAAAGGUAAUGCUUCCUUGAGUUGUCCAAUAUUCCUUUGAGUAUCUCCACCAUGGCUGUCAGAGGCCAAAUAUUCAUAGAGAUGUUAAGAGCAGUAACAUUCUGUUGGACCAGAAUUGGAAGCCUAGGAUUGCUGUUUUUGGACUGGCUAAGAUUGUUCAAACAGAGUAUGCAUACACCUACAAAAUCAAUGAGAAGAGUGAGGUUUAUAGCUUUGGAGUGGUGUUAAUGGAGUUGGUCACAGGAAAGAGGCCAGUGGAGCCAGAGUUUGGAGAGAACAAGGACACAGUUCAUUGGGUUUAUAGAAAAUUCAAGAGCCAAGAGAGUGUGACUGAUUUGGUGGACUCAACCAUAUCAGAGGCUCAAAAAGAAGAUGCCCUUAAAGUGCUGAAAAUUGCAGUGCAUUGUACAUCACAGGUUCCAACUCUAAGGCCCUCCAUGACACUACAACAAAACCCCAUUUCAAUAACACAUCAUUAUAAUACUAUUAAAAAAGUAUUAUUGUAUAUGAGCAAGUCACACGCGGUAAGUGAGUGAAAAAAAAAUGCGCCAAAAAUAUGCCUAAGUCUUUUCUAUAGUAGACUCCCUUUUCAUCUCUUCUGUCUCAUUUUCCUUCUCUCUUUCUCUUCCUGCUAUACCCAUUUCCUGUCCCCUAGCUGUACCCAUUUCCCGUCCCCUAGCUGGAAAACAAGUAAAGACUCAAGCUUAUCUGGUAAAGACUCAACCUUGUCACCACCUCCUCCUCCUCCUCUCUCGGACCGAACCACCUCCACUCUCAGAUCGACCUACUGGAGCCUCGACGAAGAAAAAAAAAUGGAGCCAGCUUAAAUCUCAAGAUAUAUGCUUAAUGCGGUUGUGAAUUAAUGGCCGAAGCCUACUCUUCACUUGGUGCCAUUUUGGAAAAUGUUGAAUCUAGGCAGCUUCGUCACUUGCUAAGUUCUGGUUAAUAGGUCCAUUAUCUAAAGAGGAUAAGGAGAUUGAGUCUAGCUUAGCAAAAUACCUCAAAGAACAGCUCAAAUUACUUGGAGACACAUCAAAUAUUGUGGGUUCACAUUCACGAAGCAUUGAAAAUCUCUCUAUCAAAAUGAAACAAAAUGGAAAUUUUGGAAAAGGCAAGCAAGGCAGCAUUUUUGUGAGACACUGAGAAAUGAAGUUGGUUCAAUCAUUGGCAUAACAAUUGUCACACCUGGGCUCAUUGGGACCAAAAUCUCAUGUGAAUAGCUUAUUUAAUUUAGCAAAAAUCUUCAAUAAUUGAGUCAGCAAUUGGAGAGAGAGACCAAGAAGCUUCCCUCCAUUUAGAAGUAGUUGGGGAUCCAAUUGGCAAGGAGCAUUGCAAAGUUAAUUUGCAAGAGACCUCUCUCCUUCACUCUUUCUCUCUCACCUUUGUCUUUGUGGAGACCGACCGCUACCUUCCCCUACACGCGCCGGCUAGGGAUCUUCAGAGGCCAUCGAAGCUUCGACCACGCGGACCCAAGCCCUCACACGACACCGAAGUCGGAUCGAGCUAUUCGCUUGCAGAAGGUCAAAGAAGCCAUCUUUAGAAUUCUUAUUCGAAAUGAAAUGGUAUGUUUGAUAAUACACACAUCAGGCUAAGUCUAACGCGUGGCAAGAAGGUAAAGAACUUCCACUCUGAAAUUUCAACCUUGUUCGUGUCUGCUUUAUCUAUGGAUGGUCAUAGGAUGAGCACAUUCACUUGAUCAUUGACUGGUUACUUCUGGCAUGAGUCCAGCAUUCAAUCUCUAUGGUUGCACACUAAUAGUGCUUCCCGAAUGGAAACCCCGUCUAUGAUAAUAUGCAUGGUAUAACUCUGGUCACUGCUUCUACUCGUAGUAAUUCUCCAAAUAAUUUGGAUUCAAAGAUUCACCACAAUAACCUUCUCAAUAAUAUACUAGCAAAGGCAGUACCUGAAGAAGCAGUUCCAGCAAAAACAGCUUGCAUGUACUGUUGGACAGUUUCUCUUUUUUUCUGUAGUAUGGAUUUUGGAGUAUGGAAAGAAAACAUCAGAAACACUUACAACAAAUGGGACGGGGUUGCUCGCAGCACCACACAGAAAUCUUAUGAGACAAAACAGUAUAAGAAGGGGUUGAAGGCUGCGGACAUUAUAUUGAAAAAGUUUCCAGACCAUGGAGGUAUAUUGAGAUGAUUUCUUUGGAGCAAUUCUUGACAACAUUUGUAGUUGAGGCAUUUAGAAUGGAAGAAUGUAUUUCACUAAUUUUUGUAUACAUUUCUUGUUUUGUAUUUAGUGAUAAAGGAAUCUGAAUUGGGCAUAAAGUAUGUUGUAAUAUGAUUUCUUAAGCCUAGGCUAGUAGACUAAAUAUUGUAAUUACAUUUGAGUAAUUAAUAAAAAUCUAUUUAUGUUACCU